rnacentral:rRNA from 2 species
AGAUGCUAAUACCGCAUAACAACUUGGACCGCAGGGUCCGAGUUUGAAAGAUGGCUUCGGCUAUCACUUUUGGAUGGUCCCGCGGCGUAUUAGCUAGAUGGUGGGGUAACGGCUCACCAUGGCAAUGAUACGUAGCCGACCUGAGAGGGUAAUCGGCCACAUUGGGACUGAGACACGGCCCAAACUCCUACGGGAGGCAGCAGUAGCGAAUCUUCCACAAUGGACGAAAGUCUGAUGGAGCAACGCCGCGUGAGUGAAGAAGGGUUUCGGCUCGUAAAACUCUGUUGUUAAAGAAGAACAUAUCUGAGAAGUAACUGUUCAAGGUAUUGACCGGUAUUUAACCAGAAAGGCCACGGCUAACUACGUGGCAGCAGGCGCCGGUAAUACGUAAGGUGGCAAGCGUUGUUCGGAUUUAUUUGGGCGUAAAGCGAGCGCCAGGCGGUUUUUUAAGUUCUGGAUGUGAAAGCCCUUCGGCUCUAACCCGAAGAAGUGCAUUGGAAACUGGGAAACUUGAGUGCAGAAGAGGACAGUGGAAACUCCAUGUGUAGCGGUGGAAUGCGUAGAUAUAUGGAAGAACACCAGUGGCGAAGGCGGCUGUCUGGUCUGUAACUGACGCUGAGGCUUGAAAGUAUGGGUAGCAAACAGGAUUAGAUACCCUGGUAGUCCAUGCCGUAAACGAUGAAUGCUAAGUGUUGGAGGGUUUCCGCCCUUCAGUGCUGCAGCUAACGCAUUAAGCAUUCCGCCUGGGGGAGUACCGCCGCAAGGCUGAA